UCGAGGAUCAUUCGCAAUGGGCGAAAGCCUGACGAUGCGACGCCGUGUGAACGAUGAAGGCCUUCGGGUUGUAAAGUUCUUUCGCUUGGGAACAAGAGAAAUUGUUUAAUAGACAAUUGAUUUGAGGGUACUAGGUAAAGAAGCACCGGCUAACUCCGUGCCAGCAGCUGCGGUAAUACGGAGGGUGCAAGCAUUAAUCGGAAUUAUUGGGCGUAAAGGGCGCGUAGGUGGGUUUGUAAGUCAGAUGUGAAAUCCCGAGGCUUAACCUCGGACCCGCAUUUGAAACUGCAAAUCUGGAGGGUAGACGGAGAAAGUGGAAUUCCGCAUGUAGCGGUGAAAUGCGUAGAUAUGCGGAAGAACACCGGUGGCGAAGGCGACUUUCUAGUUUAUUCCUGACACUGAGGCGCGAAAGCAAGGGGAGCAAACA
rnacentral:rRNA from 1 species